UAAAACAAAACCUGAAAUUGAUUAUGAUUAGAAUCUAAUAAAUAAAAAACUAUACUGAUGGUGACAAAAUGCUAUAGCUGCUAAUAUUCUAACAAAGACCAUCAUUGAGGCCGAAACAUGAAUAUUUUCUUUGAAUCCCACAAAACUCUCAUUACCCCGAGCUUGGCUUCGGCCUCACUAAAUGAACUGCCCGUGGCUUCAGAUGGGUGUGGAAGCCUCGCCCAUCUCUCAGCCUUAAGCUCAGUAAUAUCCACAACACACGCCUCCGAUUCCUCCAAGCUCUUUCCAUACCAUUUACCCUGCACCUGACAGACUUUCCCUUUACCAAUCUCCUCCCCUUGCUUAUCUACAAGCACAACAUAUUGACCUGGCUUGCAAUGAAAACAUUCCGCAGUACCAACGCCAACAAAAUCAGCAUUUUCAGCAGUGCCAGUUCUUGAUGUGUUUUGAUUAAGUCUUGCGCCUGAUGGAACAUUAUCUUCACCAUGACUCUCAGGUGAGUCAUGUGAAUGCCGUACUGCUGGUCCAGCUGGUCCACCUUGCCUUUCUGAAUGAGCAUUGUCUACGUCCAUAGGUGCACGAACAUCCUUACCUGCACGUGCUAGUCUGGCUUUUCUAUUGUUAAGCCAAUUCUUUAGCUGUGAAAAUGUAACUUCUGAACCAUUAAGGCUUAAUUUAUCAGCCCAUGACUGUAUAGAAGCUGCAUUCCGCUGCAUAUCAGGUUCAUCCACCAGGGCCUUCUCAAUCAUUGUCAUCUGAUAAUCAUUCAUUAUAGUUCGUUUCCGUUUUCUCGGCUGCUUUUCUUCAAUCUGAAUGGUUUCAACUUUUUCAUCCUCUUGAACUCCUUGGCGACCAUUUUCUUUCAUAUGCUCAUUUGAUUUGGGGAAGUCAACAUUCCCCAUUUGACCAACAAAAUUCUUUCCUCGAGUAGAACUUGUAUCAGAACCACUUGUCUCGACAUUCUGAAAAUCUCUGUCAAUCUCUUUUAAAACAGCAGAUGCAGUGCCACCAGAUUUAUCCUUGUCUUCCUUAGUUGCAUCAUCACCAUGAUUCAUAUGCUCAAUUCUGAAAUUAUGCUGCUCCUCUUGGAAAGCAGAAUUCUCAGACAUUUCCUCUUUCUGAUUACUGCUUAUGUUGUUAAGAUUUGAAGGUUCCUUCUUCAGUAAAGGCGAUGAGUACCCAGCCGUACUUUGAGCCUCCUAAGAGGAAUAAAGGCCAUUGGGGUUUAGCAAAGAAAGGAAAAAUAACCAAUAAACUUAGAGAAAACUUCAGAAAUCAUUUAAUACAUAUUAUUAAAAUUUUGAGACCCAUUACCUUAACAAGUAUAUGUUCCUGUUAGGUUUAAACUGGAAUCGCUAAAAUAUAAAAUCAGCCAAUGCAUAUUAUCACUGAAUGCAAGCUACAUGUCACUUGUCACCACUGAGCUGAUAUCUCAAUGGUUGAGUAAUUGGCACAACAAUAAAAAAAUUAUUUGGAUCAUUGUUAAAUUUUUUAAACUGUCAGCUCAAUGAACUUCCUAUAUCUACAUGCUAGAGGUAAAAUGGUAAUAAGUAAUCAUAAGGAAACUAAACUUUCAGAACUUGCCUGAUGAUGCUCGUUGAUGUCAAGUUUAGAGAACUUAUCCAAAGAUAUUGACCUUUCAAAUUUGAUUUCUUGAACCUGGUUUUCUUCAAAAUCAGCAGGAUUAAUCAGUGAUUGUAAUUGGUUAUAGAACACCCUUAAGAGCUGUACAUCCUCCUCGUUCAAAAAGUUAGGGAUCAGAGAUUCUGCGUGGCUUAGCAAUGAACGCAGGUUCCUGCAAACAGUGAUGGCUUUGUGAGCACCAGAAGUAAAAGAAAAUCCAGGCAAAGAUUCAGAUGGAUCCAUCCGCAUGCACUCAAGGAACUUGUGAAGGAAAAGAUUCCUUUCCUGCUCUUCACAAAUGUUGGGGACAAAACAAUGAAGGUUGGCAAUUACUUUGACAAAUAAUGAAGUUCUCUGAUGAGCAUAGGCAGCUUGGGGCAUGUUGCUGGGAAUUAAAAUAAUUUCUAUACCUAUAGCAUUUGAUAGGUUCAAUGAUGAAAAUGUGUCCAAAACCCAUCCAGCUGCUGUAAAUAAAUCAUAAUCCAGAGUAGCAUCUUCCUCCCUUGGUGGAAGUUCAGAGGAACACCAAAUGGAUAAAAAUUCUCCAUGAGGCAGUGAAAAUAUGGCAGUCAGAACCUUGGUAAAGUAUGUCGUAAUGUAAGAUCGAAAAUUUGAAUCAUCUGAGAAAAUAUCAGCUAGACGCAAUGCAUUGAGUCGCAGAAGCCCCAAGGGAAGAGUUUUCUCAGAACAAGCACUAAGAUGCUUGGGAUCCAGUGCGGCCUUUAAUAAUUCAAGAACCUCUAAUGCAACAGACUUGGCCAAAGCAAGGCUUCCUGAAGAGCUUGCAACCUCAUCAAGGUAAGAAAUGCUUUCUGCUUCACAGAGAUGCAAUAGAAUUAAUAGUACUUUAGCUUUCAGUCUGGAUACAGCAGCAACAACAGUAGCAGACUCUACAAAAGGACUGGAAACAUUUAACUUCAAGACAGCCUGGGCCAGAAAGAGAACACCACCCUUUCCACAUAGUUCCUUGUUUCUUAGUAGGCGCUCUCUGAACAAUUUUUGUUGGCACAAUGUCUGAAGAAACUGUAUAGAUGCCUCGCAUUGUUGGCAUAGAUAGUUAACUAUUUGUUCAGCUGUUGGACUUGAUCUCAUGUUAAAAUCAGUAUGUUGAGCUGAAAGCUUGACCUGAAGAAACCUGAUAGCUACAUGUACUGCUCCGAAAGCUGCAUCCAUAAAUAUGUCAACCUUGGGGUGUGCAAGCAACACCUGAACAAGAUCUUGCCAGUGUGAUGAUAUACAUCCUGUUAAUAGAUAUAGACUGCAUGCUAACAGUGCUGAAUGCAGAAGGGGCACAGAGUUUGUAUUAUGGUUUUCCUGUCUGAUAUUGCAAAGGACAAUUAGUAUAUAAAACACCAGAUCUAACAGUUGUUCUGAAAUUUUUACAUCAUCGAGCAAAAUCUGCUCAAGUUUAGUAUGUCGAGGUGCCAGGUCACAUAGGGAAUGCAAAAGCCGAAUACCACAUAAUAAAUAUCUCAACAGCGGUUCAUCUUUGUCAGAUGCCAGAAGCACUGCAAUAAGAUGCAAAGGAAGAAAGCCUGCCAGUUUUUCCACGUCAAUCUUUAACUGUGAUCCUUUUUCAGUUUGGAAGUGAAUUGUAAAACUUUCAGAGUCCUUUAUUAAUUUAUUAAGCUCCUGCAAAGUAAGCCCAUGUAACUCUUUCACUGCUGAAAUUAAGUCAAUGACCAAGUGAAUAAUUAGAAAAAUCAACCGAAUAUGCAACCAAAUUUGGCACUUGUUCAGCAAUACAUGUUGAUUCAUCCUUGGUGACCCUCAUCCUAGAGCCAAGGCCAGAAAGUUCAUGAGAAAAUAUAGGAGUGAAGCAACUGUAGCACAGAGCAUAAAAUAUUUAUGUUCUACUUGAAGUUGUUGCUGAAGCUAAUUUUGGCCAAAACAUCCCCAAGAAAAAAAAAUUCUCUUCAGAAGUAGCUAAAACAGCAGCACCAAAAGUGUAUUUGCAAAUAUGCAGUUCAUGGAGGUUAAACCAAUUGCUUGAAUUUUAUCAGUUAUUAACAUGUUAAAAGACCUUUUCCAAGAGCAAAAGUGUAAGAGUGGAUAAAUGGGCCAAGCAUAGGCUAAUAAAUAUGAAUAAUUUCAAGAAAAGAAAACAACAGGUAGGAGAAGCAUCUCCCAAAUUUCCAACAAAUGAUGUAACAGCAACCAUGUUGAAAUUGUUGACUCAUUAUAGCAGCUAAAAUGAUCAUCCAAUCCUGCUUCUCAACAUUUCAGUGAUGGAAAGCAGGAUAAAGCAAUAUCAUUCGAAGAAAAUUUGCCAACUUGCACUUCAAUUUUCAAAAUAAAUUAUUAUUUUUAUUAUGAAGACCAAAAAUCAAACCAUUCCGUGCACUUCCAACGCACACAUGGGUAUGUCCAAUACUAGUCGAACUGCAAUAUAGAGCUCAUGCCUGUAACUCUGCUGUCAUCGUCAACCCUGGGAAUUGUAUAGAAGAGGUAGCUAUAGGAGAGUUGAGCGCAAAAAAAAAAUUGUAGAGCCGAAAAGAGGGAAUAAAAGUUGGCGGAUUUUUGAGACCAAUGUAGACGUCGAGUCAAGGCUGGAAAUUUUGAGAGAGAGACCUUAGG
rnacentral:misc_RNA from 1 species